rnacentral:rRNA from 1 species
CCUACGGGUGGCAGCAGUGGGGAAUAUUGGACAAUGGGGGCAACCCUGAUCCAGCAAUUCUGUGUGCACGAAGACGGUUUUCGGAUUGUAAAGUGCUUUCAGCAGGGAAGAAGGAAGUGACGGUACCUGCAGAAGAAGCGACGGCUAAAUACGUGCCAGCAGCCGCGGUAAUACGUAUGUCGCGAGCGUUAUCCGGAAUUAUUGGGCAUAAAGGGCAUCUAGGCGGCCUUUCAAGUCAGGGGUGAAAACCUGCGGCUCAACCGCAGGCCUGCCUUUGAAACUGAUAGGCUGGAGUACCGGAGAGGUGGACGGAACUGCACGAGUAGAGGUGAAAUUCGUAGAUAUGUGCAGGAAUGCCGAUGAUGAAGAUAGUUCACUGGACGGUAACUGACGCUGAAGUGCGAAAGCCGGGGGAGCGAACAGGAUUAGAUACCCCAGUAGUC